AUUCAUUUAGCUUAUUCCACAAGUAACGUGGAAAUCACAGGCUCUGUAAAGGCCCAUUCUACUAGAGCUAUAUCUAUGUCCUGGGCUCUGCGAGCUGCGGCUACGCCUUCCCAGAUUUGUAAAGCAGCCACAUGGUCAUCGCUUCAUACAUUCUCAAAACAUUACAGGUUAGACAUACUGGCCUCAGAAGAUGCAGCUUUUGGGCGCAAGGUGCUACAAGCAGUGGUGAAAUGAAUCC